AGUGAUCUUGUUUCGCACUGAAAGCAUUGGGCGCAUUCAGUAGAGAAAACCGCUCAGUAGCAAUCGAACGUGAUUGGCUCUCACUUUUAGAACCAACAAAUCAACGUCGAGUGUUGACAAGACAAUAACUGAGCGCUUUCUCUGCCGAACGCGCCCAAUGGCUCUUCACUCAAGCAUUAAAUCCCUCUCUAAAAAAGACAUGUUAUUGACAUUGUUGUCUCGCGAUGUUGAUUGGUUGUCUCAUUCGUGCGCUUGCUUCACUUGUUCGUGUGAUUUGCUUCACUCGUGUCGUUUAAUAGUUUGACAAUUUAUCGUUUGACAGUGUGACAAUUUAUUAUAAAAAAUGAAAUUAAAGAAGAUGAAAAAGGGAGAGAGAGGAAGAGGGAAAGACGAAUAGAGAAAGCGGACGGUUCUUCGUUGCCCAUGGCAUACCUUCGGUGCGUGGCUUGAAUAUCGGUUCCGCGAUCCAGGAAUCGAAGUUAUGAUAAAAGAAACCGAAUUGGGCACCAAAUCUUAUCGAUUUCAAUGACAUUGAAAAAUUAUUUUUUAGACGUAGAAAGAGGUUAUAAAAUAUACAAUUUUGUAUACAAUUUUUGAUAAUUUUCACAAAGCAAAAUCCAUUGGAUGCAAAACAAAAUCUAAAAAUGUACAGUUCUGUAUACCUUUUCGACUUUUCAUGCAAUUACUUCUUAAAGUGAUACAUACUUCAUGUCGUCUCUUGUAGAAAAUAAAAGAAAUAUAAAUAUAAAUUAAACAGAUAGUUAAUAUAAAUUAAAUAGAUACAUUAUAUAAUUUUCUUUAAAAUCAUAGAAUUAUAUAUAUAAACAAUUUUAUGUUUUAUUAUUGAGAAAACUGCUUAUUCAGUUUGAGUUUCAUGGCUUUCAGAUAGUGUUUUCCAAAAAUUUUAUCAUUUUGUCACUUUAUCACUUUAUCUAAUCACUUUUCCUCUUGUUGCAUUCUGCGAUACUCUUGUAAUUUAAUUAUCUUAACGUAAUUAUCUUAUACGUAAUUGCACUCACAUAUACAAAA